rnacentral:rRNA from 1 species
CCCUUAGAUGUCCUGGGCCGCACGCGCGCUACACUGAUGCAUUCAACGAGUUUUACCUUGGCCGAGAGGCCUGGGUAAUCUUUUAAACCUGCAUCGUGAUAGGGAUAGAUUAUUGCAAUUAUUAAUCUUGAACGAGGAAUUCCUAGUAAACGCAGAUCAUCAAUCUGCAUUGAUUACGUCCCUGCCCUUUGUACACACCGCCCGUCGCACCUACCGAUUGAAUGGUCCGGUGAAGCCUCGGGAUUGUGGCCAGUUCACUUUAUUGGGAGUUGGCUGCGAGAACUUGUCUAAACCUUAUCAUUUAGAGGAAGGUGAAGUCGUAACA